UGGCAGAUUUAUAAGGGCACGCAUGAGAAAAAAUGGAGACAUGAUUCGUGAUUAAGUAUGCAUUUUUUAUCUAUUAUUUCUAUAUAUGGUUAAUACAAGGUAAGAUAGCGAAAAACUGUCAGUAGUAUACCUUUAAAUAAUGCGCCAACUUUAAUUAAUCUUUUAGAUGGUUAUUGCGCUUCAGGUUGGAUUGCGCAUGGUCGUUAUUGUUAUCAAUUUCAUACUGAUCCCAGUGAGUACACAUCGUGGAUCAAUGCAAGAGACGCUUGCCGUCAAGGCCGAUAUUCAAGUGAACUCGGAGACUUAGUCAGGAUUGUCAACGUGUGAGUAAUUAAUUGAUUACUUCCAAUAUGUUGUUGUUGUUUAUUAAAGACAUGAUGAAUUGUAUAAAACUAAUGACCUGUUAAGAGUGAGUCAACAAUAAAGUCAACAAUAAAGUCCCCACGAUGAGCGUGAUUUUCCCGCCAUGUAUGACGUCAGGAACUAUUUUCCCGCCAUAUGAUGUCACGAAUUGUAGCAUAACAUUUGUUGCGUGACAUCAUCAUCAUCAUCAUCAUCAAUCAUUUUUAUUUAAAAUGAAAACACGCUAGCCUCGCACAACUGAAAGCUGAUUUACAGGAGGGGCGUGAUAUAUAAAAUAGUAAAAUAUAUAGAAUAAUAUAUGAACCCCCAACCUCCCCUCCUCCCUCAACAACAAAGAAAAAUAAAGUAAGUAAAGAGACUUAACUCUUAGCCUUUUUACUGUUGUAACAGUUCCGCGCGCUACUACGACGUGUGAUUAAAGCUACUAUUCAAUUAAUAAGCAUGCCUUAUAGCGUAUGUCUUUGAAACUCUGCACUAUCCUUGGAUUCCUAGUCUUUCUCGUCAUCACUAUCGAAAACAUCGCCGUUGUGAGAUGAGGUAAAUGCCCCGUUAUCCUAAUUAUCUAUCCAAGCUUUUUUUAUCUGUGCAGGAUGACUUGGCGUCACUCAGAUAAAUACGUCUUUCUUCACUUGAUAGACGGUGAAUGUCUGCCAAAUGAUUUGUUAAUUUGCAAAGGGUUUUUUUCAUAACUCGCCACAAAAUCAUAACGCAAAAGGUAAAUUUGCCAACCUCGGAUUUGAAGAGGCUUUCGAUAGAGAAAAAUAUGACACCAGUAACACUAGUUAUUGACAAUCCGACCCUGCAUCGAUCAUGUUAACGUCGAUCAUAUUGGAAAAAUUGACGUGUUUAACGGUACCUCGGGCCCCCAGGAGAACAACUUUAUCUACCGUAUGAACGCCAAGGAAACAAUCAAUCAUGUGGGACUCGGCUAGAAAAAAUGAAAAGCAGGUCACUACGUUGGAAGAAGAAACCGGUGUGAUUCUGGGU